rnacentral:tRNA from 1 species
GUGGGUGAAGUGUUGUCGGUGGCACCCCGGCUUGCCAUGCCGGGAGGGCGGGUUCGAUUCCCGUCACCCACUCCA